rnacentral:rRNA from 1 species
UACGAAGGGGGCUAGCGUUGCUCGGAAUCACUGGGCGUAAAGCGCACGUAGGCGGAUCUUUAAGUCAGGGGUGAAAUCCCAAGGCUCAACCUUGGAACUGCCUUUGAUACUGGGGAUCUCGAGUCCGGAAGAGGUGAGUGGAACUGCGAGUGUAGAGGUGAAAUUCGUAGAUAUUCGCAAGAACACCAGUGGCGAAGGCGGCUCACUGGUCCGGUACUGACGCUGAGGCGCGAAAGCGUGGGGAGCAAACAGGG